rnacentral:rRNA from 1 species
UACGUAGGGAGCGAGCGUUGUCCGGAUUCAUUGGGCGUAAAGAGCUCGUAGGCGGUCUGUCGCGUCGGCUGUGAAAACCCGGGGCUCAACCCCGGGCCUGCAGUCGAUACGGGCAGACUAGAGUGCGGUAGGGGAGACUGGAAUUCCUGGUGUAGCGGUGAAAUGCGCAGAUAUCAGGAGGAACACCGGUGGCGAAGGCGGGUCUCUGGGCCGUAACUGACGCUGAGGAGCGAAAGCGUGGGGAGCGAACAGG